UGGAAACAUGUACUUGUAGGCCACGGUAAUUAAAACUCUGACCCGUCGCUGUUCCCCGCCCAUCCGGCACCGCUCCCGGCCAGGAAGUCCGUGUUAUAGCAGGGAUCGGGGUCGUGCUGAACCCUCAGACUACCCUCAGCCCCCGUGCCAGCGGCCUGAGCGCCUGCUCCACGUACGUGCCGAGCUUCAGGUCGUCCCACACCAGAUCGCGAACCUUCCAGAAGUGGUUACCAUGGUGAGCGCCGUUCCACAGGACUAGGAACACCAACACGUUAUGCCGCUGCGCCUGGAACAAGGACGGCUGCUGAUACAGAAAGACUCGCUGGCCGUUCAGCUUGAAGUGCUGUCCGUCUGUGGACAGGAAGGUCUGCCCUUGGGCAGCUGCAGACAGCAAGGUCAGGAGGACAGCAACGGACAGCAUCCUCAUCUGAGCUGAACAACAGGUCCUAGACUCAUACUCCGCGAGCUACACUGUGACUAGUAGACUGUGCCAAGUGUCUCUGUUCUCAACCUUCGGAGAUAACCACAGGAAGACGACCGGAACCAACAACGUGCCAGAAUAGA